CAAUCAGCUGAGCGCCACGGAAGUAGCGCUUCCUGAUUGGCUGAAGGGACAUCAGUGACAGGAGUCACGUGAUGUCCCGGCAUUCGGGAGAGGGGUCUCAUGUGUCAACAUGGGACCCCUUUCAGUCCGGUAUGGCUCGUGUUCGGUUUGUUUUUUUAACAAAGUACGUGGAUUUACCUCUGGACCUCUGGACGCUGGAAGAUUACUGCGUGGAGUCACAGAAUCUAUAGCUGCACGUGAACAAAGCACAUAAGGUAGCCACAUUGUAGUUACAUUUACCUACACUAAUGUGACUUGUGUGACAGAUUAUGAUGGAGCAUUUGAUGUCGUAAUGCAGGUCCUUUAAUUGUAUGGGAACCAGAGUAUAAAAGCAGCCAAAGCACAAAGCUAAAUCCUUUCAGCCUUCUGUGCGUUUUUAUUGUUCAUGGUUGCUGUGGUAAUGGACGGACGAUGACAUCGUUACAUGUGGGUAUCAGCCUUCCAGUUUCCGAACGCUGCCAGCACACUUUGGGUGCCAGGAUGUAAGUUAUUUGCAGUCAUGGAUCAUGUGAGUCACAGGCGGCAGCUGGAUGCACCACCAGUGAAUAGAGGAAUGCUGAAGGAAUGAGCUAUUAGUGAGGACCACAUGUGGAAGCAGAGAUUGCUUCACAACUUCAAGAAGGGUGGAAACCAGUCAGGGAGAAAAUUAUACAUUCUCCGCGAUGGGGCCAGGGAGAUGCCACAGAGGCUUGGCAACAGUAGCCGGACAACGCUGCACGUUGUACACAUUGCCCUGGCAACUACGGCGGAAGCCGUCUGACCGGAAGUGAUGCCCAUGAUCUCCAGCCGGCGGACGCGCGGCCUGAACCCGGCCCUCCUGUGGCGUGGUGGUCCUGGACCUAUUUUUAGGUCAAUUUAAACUAUUCAUCUUGUUUGUUCUAUAUUCGUCAGCAUGCCAGCCCUGAGAACGGUGCUUUAGCUGCACCGAAACGUUGGCAUAAUGGUAUUGUGUUUGACACAUGUAUUCUACUAAAAUGUAAGUUUGCAUUUACUAUUGGAGUGCCGCAGUCUUUUUCC